rnacentral:rRNA from 1 species
GAUGAACGCUGGCGGCAGGCCUAACACAUGCAAGUCGAGCGAGCGGCGGACGGGUGAGUAAUGUAUGGGGACUGCCAGAUAGAGGGGUAUAACUACUGGAAACAGUGGCUAAUACCGUAUACUAUAGGAUAACCCAUAUGGGAUUAGCUAGUAGGUGGGGUAAAGGCUCACCUAGGCGACGAUCUCUAGCUAGUCUGAGAGGAUGAUCGGCCACGCAGGGACGGAGAAACGGCCCAGAGUCCUACGGAGGCAGCAGUGGGGAAUAUGGCACAAUGGGCGCAAGCCUGAUGCAGCCAUGCCGCAGGUAUGAAGAAGGCCUUAGGGUUGUAAACCUCUUUCGCUAGCGAACGGGUAGGUGGAGAAGAAGCGCCGGCUAACUACGUGCCAGCAGCCGCGGUAAUAC